UCGAACGAGAAAGCGGGGGCAACCCCGUGAGUAAAGUGGCGACCGGGUGAGUAACACGUGACUAACCUACCUUCAAGUGGGGAAUAACCUCGGGAAACCGGGGCUAAUACCGCAUAACAUCGCAGCCGUAAGGGCGGCGAUCAAAGCAGCAAUGCGCUGGAAGAGGGGGUCGCGGCUGAUUAGCUAGUUGGUGAGGUAACGGCUCACCAAGGCAGUGAUCAGUAUCCGGCCUGAGAGGGCGCACGGACGCACUGGAACUGAAACACGGUCCAGACUCCUACGGGAGGCAGCAGUGGGGAAUUUUGCGCAAUGGGGGAAACCCUGACGCAGCAACGCCGCGUGGAGGAUGAAGUCCCUUGGGACGUAAACUCCUUUCGAACGGGACGAUUAUGACGGUACCGUAUGAAGAAGCCCCGGCUAACUUCGUGCCAGCAGCCGCGGUAAUACGAGGGGGGCAAGCGUUGUUCGGAAUUAUUGGGCGUAAAGGGUGCGUAGGCGGCGCGGUAUGUCUCUUGUGAAAUCUCCAGGCUCAACUUGGAGUCUGCAAGGGAAACUGCCGUGCUUGAGUACUGGAGAGGUGAGUGGAAUUCCCGGUGUAGCGGUGAAAUGCGUAGAUAUCGGGAGGAACACCUGUGGCGAAAGCGGCUCACUGGACAGUAACUGACGCUGAUGCACGAAAGCUAGGGGAGCAAACAGGAUUAGAUACCCUGGUAGUCCUAGCCCUAAACGAUGGAUGCUUGGUGUGAUCGGUACCCAAUCCGAUCGUGCCGGAGCUAACGCGUUAAGCAUCCCGCCUGGG
rnacentral:rRNA from 1 species